GCGAAAGUGGUGAAAUUGGCAGACACGCUAGACUUAGGAUCUAGUGCCUCACGGCUUGGGGGUUCAAGUCCCCCCUUUCGCA
rnacentral:tRNA from 1 species